rnacentral:lncRNA from 1 species
AUGGUAUGGAGUGUACUAAGGCUUAUUUUAGUAUUGAGAUUCAUACGACACUAGUAGAAAAUAUAUUGUAAUAUGCGAAACAUAAUAUUACGUACGAAAACAAUAAUGAUAUUUUCCUAUUGCACUUUCUCACCGCACAUAACACAAUCCCUCUGUAAUCCCAAUAGUUGCCAAUACAGUGAGAUUUUUUAUAAAAAAGGAUAAUUGCCCAUAUACUCUUCAAAACUUCAAAAAUAUCUAAUUUAUCCUCUCUUUUUUUUCAAAUAUACCCCUCAUAUGUUCUUCCGUAAUUCAAAUAUACCUCCGCAGUUACCACCCGUUAAGUUAUCUCGAGUUAAACGUGAGUUACAUAUUUAUCAGAGUUUUAAAAAAAUUAAAAUAUUUUUUCGCCCUUAAUUUAAUGGCAAAUAAGAAAAGUCUGUGAUGAUAAAAGAAUAUAUUUGAAAAGAUUAAAAAAUAAAGUACUUAUUUUGUCCCUAACUUAAGGACAAAUGAAAAAAGUUGGUGAUGAUAGAAGAUUAUAUUUGAAAUGAUAAAAUAAUUACUUUAUAGAGAUAACGGCUGUUACUAACCGUGUACUAAUAGAAAUUUAACUAUAGGGUAUAUUUGAAAUAACUUGAAACAUUAAAAGAUUAAUUUUAAUAUUAGUCUUCUAAAAGUGAUAAAUCAGAAAGUCGGAAACUUUCCAGAAAUAUAUAAGCAACUAGAUUUUCACCCGUGCGAUGCACGGCUAAUAUAAUAAUAUAGAAUAAUAAAAAUUAUUAUGUGAUGAUAAUAAAAAAAAUUUCUAAUUAAUUUUAUAUUUUUUAAUAAAUAAAAAAAUAUACUAUCAAUCUUAAUUAUAGUACAUAUUAAGUUACACAAGCUAGAGAAAAAAAAAUUUGGACCAAAAUAAAUAUUCAACUAAAAUGCAAAAUUCAAUCCUGCUCUAUUAUCUAUGAAUUGGUGUACAAAACAAUUUACAUUUACAUAUUGAUGUGCGAAAUAAAAUAAUAACUAAAAUUGAUAUGAAAAAUUACAAAUGACAUUAAUAUUUAAGCAUAUAAUGAGAUCAACUAAACUUUAAUAUUUGACACACAUUAGNAAAAAAUCUAAUUUUACUUUUCCUAAAGUAAAAUAUCUAUAUUUAAAUUUGACACGUAGAUUAUUUUUCCUAAAGCAGUAAUAUCCGCACCCGCCAAUUCUUUCGCGUGAAUUUCUCAAAUAUCUCAACAUAAUUAUAGGUGACUUUGAAAUAAAAUCUCCUUCAUCAAUUAUAUGUGAUUUUUAAUAAUAUUGUAAAAGAUACUAUUUUCUUAAAAAAUUUAAUUUUAUUUUCCCCAAAGUAGUCAUAUUCCUUCAAGUAGUAAUAUCCGCACAAUAUAAUUAUAGGUAACUUUGAAAUAUUCCCUAAAAUAGAAAAUUUGAGCUUAAUACGUAGAUUUUCUAUAUAAUAAAAGAUAUUAUUUUUUAAAAAAAUCUAAUUUUUUUUUCUAAAAUAAAAAAUUUAUAUUUGAGCUUGACACGUGGCAAACAUAAGUUAUCAUCUUGGUUGCAUAAAGAGAAUUUGAUAUACUACGUGUACCUAUGUUGCCCACAGAUAUAUAAUAAUUAAUAUAAUUACUAAGAAUAUAAAUAAUAUCCAAAAUUUGAAUAAAUGAGAUACCUGCAAAGUCUUUUAUCUUCCACCAUUGCAUUAUAAUUAUGACAGGGCCUUCAUCCCCUACUUGUUUAUAAGUAUAAAGUUCUUCAGCAAACUUUCUCCACAAUGUGCAACUCAGCUUUUUGUUGCAAUAAGUUUUACAGAAAAAAAUACUAAAUGACCAAAAUACAAAUUAAAAUGAACAUUAUACUAUAAAUGCUACUUAUAAAAUAAUUCAUUUUAUAUUAUAUAUGUGCCUACUAAUUUUUGUUUAUAUUAUAUCAGAUAGAUAAUUUUUAUAUUUAUAUUUGAGGGCAAUUUAGAUAAAAAAAGUGACAAAUAUUUUGUAUUCGUCAAUCAUUAGAUUAGAUCUAAUAACUAAGAAUCAAUAUAUUUUAUAAUAAUUUUAAAAAAUAUUUAAUAUUUUAAAUAUUAGUAGGUAAAUUUGAGAUAACUUUUAUAUAUUCACCUUUAAAAAAAUAUGAUUAAAUAUUAUAUAUGUUAAUAUUUUUUAUAAUAAUUUAAAUAAAAUAUCCAAAAUUUUAAAUAUUAGUAGGUAAAUUUGAGAUAACUUUUAUAUAUUUUGCUUUAAAAAAAAUAAUUUAAUAUUAUAUAUGCGGAAUGUAUUAUGUGAUUGGAUAUUAUAUAGGUGGUGGAUAUUAUGUGUGAGAAAAAAAAAUUAAGAUAUGCGAAUAUUAUUUGUGAUAAAAUAUGAUAUUAUGUGGGCGACGGUUAUUAGAAGAUAUGACAUGCAUAUAAAAAGUGAAAUUUGAUACGUACUAUUUGAGGACAAUUUAGAUAAAAAAAAAGUGACAGAUAUUUUGUAUUCGUCAAUCAAUUAGAUUUAUUGACUAAGAAUUAAUAUAUUUUAUAAUAAUUUAAAUAAAAUUUUCAAUAUUUUAAAUUUGAGGUAACUUUUAUAUAUUCUGCUUUUAAAAAAUAUGAUUAAAUAUUAUAUAUGUUUUAUAUAUAGUAAUAGAU